rnacentral:rRNA from 1 species
UACGGAGGUGGCAAGCGUUGCUCGGAAUCACUGGGCGUAAAGGGCGCGUAGGCGGGGAGGUAAGUCGGGUGUGAAAUCCCUCGGCCCAACCAAGGAACUGCGCCCGAGACUGCUACUCUUGAGUCCCGGAGAGGAAGAUGGAAUUCCCGGUGUAGCGGUGAAAUGUGUAGAGAUCGGGAGGAACACCGGUGGCGAAGGCGGUCUUCUGGACGGUGACUGACGCUGAGGCGCGAAAGCGUGGGGAGCAAACGGG